AGGCAAAACCGGGUGACCGCCGCGGUGGGAAUUUUCCCGCCGGGGAGGAAAGUCCGGGCUCCACCGGACAGGGUGCUGGGUAACUCCCAGGCUUCUGAGGCAGCUUGGCCGCUGCCCCAGGGGACGGAAAGUGGCACAGAAACAUACCGCCUCCGCCACGAACCCGGGCUAGCCAUUCCCCGCAAUGGACGCCCGAUUGACGGAGGUAAGGUUGAAAUCGGACGGUAAGAGCGUCCGGUCGCGUGUGGUGACGCACCGACGGCUAAACCCCACCUGGAGCAAGGCCGAAUAGGGGGACUAUGGGCGUCCGGCUCGUCCCCGGGUUGGCUGCUUGACCCCGACGGCAACGUCGUCCCGCUCGCUUCUGGCGGGCGGACUUGCCUCGGCCCACUUGGGCCGUUCGCAGGGGGCUAGAUAGAUGGUCACCGUCCUGUCGGCCAUUGGUCGGCAGGAUACAGAACCCGGCUUACAGGUUUUGCCCAGCC
rnacentral:RNase_P_RNA from 1 species